CAGACCUCUCCGCUAUCUAGUCGAUGUGGGACUAAGUUCGGACCCUUUAUUUCCACAACAUAGCCCCUCCAGCGGAGGGGUCUGUGCCGGGGUCAAGGGCUCUCAACGAAAGCACCAUUGAUGAGGUCGGAGGGUAUCCUCCCGAGCCCCAGAGCUUAGUCCCCACCGGGCUCAGACAGCGGAAGCGACUGCUUCUCCUUAGAGGUAUUGUCCGCUUUGAAGGAAGUUUCAUAGUCUCUUCCCAACGCACGAUUUUGUCCCGCAAAAGGCACAUCUGAAGAGAAAGGGGUAGCCCCCCUCCAUUUAAGGAACAGGCCUC
rnacentral:lncRNA from 1 species